rnacentral:rRNA from 1 species
UGGGGAAUAUUGCACAAUGGAGGGAACUCUGAUGCAGCGACGCCGCGUGAACGAAGAAUGCUUUCGAGUCGUAAAGUUCUUUUAUAUGGGAAGAUAAUGACGGUACCAUAAGAAAAAGCCCCGGCUAACUACGUGCCAGCAGCCGCGGUAAUACGUAGGGGGCUAGCGUUGUUCGGAAUCACUGGGCGUAAAUGGUUCGCAGGCGGAAAUGCAAGUCAGGUGUAAAAGGCAGUAGCUUAACUACUGUAAGCAUUUGAAACUGCAUAUCUUGAGAAGAGUAGAGGUAAGUGGAAUUUUUAGUGUAGUGGUGAAAUGCGUAGAUAUUAAAAAGAAUACCGGUGGCGAAGGCGACUUACUGGGCUCAUUCUGACGCUGAGGAACGAAAGCGUGGGUAGCAAACAGG